GAGAGUAUAGCUCAGUGGUAGAGCACAUGCCUAGCAUGCAUGAGAUCUUAGUACCUCCA
rnacentral:tRNA from 1 species